rnacentral:misc_RNA from 1 species
GAAAUGCGAUAAGUAAUGUGAAUUGCAGAAUUCAGUGAAUCAUCGAAUCUUUGAAAGCACCUUGCGCUCCUUGGUAUUCCUUGGAGCAUGCCUGUUUGAGUAUCAUGAAAUCUUCAAAGUAAAUCUUUUGUUAACUCAAUUGGUUUCUACUUUGGUAUUGGAGGUCUUUGCAGCUUCACACCUGCUCCUCUUUGUUCAUUAGCUGGAUCUCAGUGUUAUGCUUGGUUCCACUCGGCGUGAUAAGUUAUCUAUCGCUGAGGACACUGUAAAAGGUGGCCAAGGUAAAUGCAGAUGAACCGCUUCUAAUAGUCCAUUGACUUGGACAAUACUUUUAUGAUCUGAUCUCAAAUCAGGUAGGACUACCCGCUGAACUUGAGC